ensembl:snRNA U6 U6 spliceosomal RNA
GCGCUCGCUUUGGCAACACGUGUACUAAAAUUGGAAUGGCACAGAGAUCAGCAUUGCCCCUGUGCAAGGAUGGCAAGCAAAUUUGUGCAGCAUUUCACAAAAAU